ACAGUUUUCAUAUUCUACCUUUAUUAUUUAUUCAGUCCUUUAUAUGAUUGCCUGUAUGAUGCUACUUACAAAAGCUUUGUCAUGAUCAUGCUAUAUAAUAUAUAUCUUUGUUGUCAGACCCCCGAGGAGGAUCUUGACCUUGAUGCAGAACCGACCACAGAAGAUACCACGGAAGAAGGCAAAUGUGACUCAACCUUGCCUGAGACAAAAUCAGCUACCCCAGUAGAGGUAAGAAAAAUUCAUGUUGGUUGAUUUUCUUUCAUGCUUAUAUGAGCUGCAUUUG
rnacentral:lncRNA from 1 species